rnacentral:rRNA from 1 species
UUCCGUAGGUGAACCUGCGGAAGGAUCAUUAUCGGUUUGCUUAUGCUGUUUGCAUAGCAAAAACCACCUCUGUCGGGACUGGCUGUGCUUGCAUGGCUAGUUCUUGGGAGCCCGCUUGUCUGCGCGGCUCUGUGACGCCUGGAGCUGUUUGUCAGAAGCUCUGCCCGGGCGGCCCGAGGCUGCUGGUACCGAAGAAUAGUCGGUUUGAAGUGUCUCGCCCAGCCCCAGGUUGUGCAUUUUCCCCGUGUCGGGAUCUGCAUUUGUUUCAAACUCUUGCUGGCUUGCCCAGCCCUCUUGACUGCUGUUGAGAGAAUCAAAACACAACACUAUACAGUGGAUCAUUUGGCUCGGUGGUCGAUGAAGAACGGAGCUAACUCUGUGAUGCCGUGUGAACUGCAGGACAUACGAACAUCGACAUUUUGAAUGCAUAUUGCGGAUUUGAGCUUGUCUCAAAUCCAUACCUGGCUCAGGGUCGGUUUAACAUCCAUCAGCCUCGCCUUUGUGAGUCUGUAUAGGGCAGAUGUUUUGCCACUGGCAGAGCGGUGCCUCAAGUUUUGUCGUGCAGAUUCCACCGACUCGACUCUUGGGAGAGAUCCUGGGUUGUUGUCGAUGACUGCAUGUGCAUGGUGCCUUGGCUGUUGAAUGGCCCUUGUGUGCACCUCCCAUUACACUUUCGACCUGAGAUUAGGUAAGAUUACCCGCCGAAUUUAAGCAUAUC